rnacentral:rRNA from 1 species
UACGGGGGGAGCAAGCGUUGUUCGGAUUUACUGGGCGUAAAGGGCGCGUAGGCGGCCAUCUAAGUCAGGCGUGAAAUCCCCCGGCUUAACCUGGGAACUGCGUCUGAUACUGGACGGCUUGAGUAUGGGAGAGGGAUGUAGAAUUCCAGGUGUAGCGGUGAAAUGCGUAGAUAUCUGGAGGAAUACCGGUGGCGAAGGCGGCAUCCUGGACCAUUACUGACGCUGAGGCGCGAAAGCUAGGGGAGCAAACGGG